rnacentral:rRNA from 1 species
UACGAAGGGGGCUAGCGUUGCUCGGAAUUACUGGGCGUAAAGGGCGCGUAGGCGGACAGUUUAGUCAGAGGUGAAAGCCCAGGGCUCAACCUUGGAAUUGCCUUUGAUACUGGCUGUCUUGAGUUCGGGAGAGGUGAGUGGAAUGCCGAGUGUAGAGGUGAAAUUCGUAGAUAUUCGGCGGAACACCAGUGGCGAAGGCGACUCACUGGCCCGAUACUGACGCUGAGGAGCGAAAGCGUGGGGAGCGAACAGG